rfam:Perkinsus marinus ATCC 50983 gcontig_1104296140516, whole genome shotgun sequence.
GCUCUGGUGGCUCAAUCGGAUAGAGCGUUGGACUUCUAAUCCAAAGGUUGCGGGUUCUAGUCCCACCCAGAGUA